ACCUAUAUAAAAGCUAAACCACUUUGCUGGAACCAUAACGUUUUGGGUACUGUUUCCUCACCUUUUUGUCCAAUCAAAUGUGGCCACGUCCCCUUUCUUCCACUGUAGACGCGCACAGGUCCUGUAAAUGGGACGUAAAUGCAGCCCUGCUAAUUUUGCUCCUUCCUUUAUUUCCGUGAGUAAAAUUAGGGGUUACCGGGAGGCUUCCGGUUGCUCCAUGCAGCUACAUCCGGUAAUUCUGAUUUCCUAUUUUUUUUUUUCUUUUAUGUACCCCUGAUAUCCGGUCUCCCCCGGUUCAAAGCGGUAAAGCGGUGCCGUGUAGGCCCUCUUCCUCCCCAAUCCAGUCGCAAGCCACUACCUCUUCCUCCCAAUCCCCAUCGGCCAGGCCAAAAAAAUCUCCAUGGCUGCUGCUCACAUGCUCCGCCCAGGGGCCAGCGCCGUCCUAUUCCUUCCUGGCCGACGCGUGUACCGAAGGAUCCAGCAGAUACCGCCCCAGACGCCGGUGGCUUGCCGGAUGAAGAUCCUCACAACCUCGACGCCUAUGAUCUGGGGGCGAAACCCCACUGGUGAGACCCUGGCCGCCACAUCUGCUCCCCUCCCUCCACCUCCUCUUCAGCGCCCUCCUCCGCCUCCUUAUCCUCCCAAAGCUGCUUGGGGCGAUGCGGAGGCGGGGCAGUGGGGGAGACGUUGGGGAUGGAGUCAGUGCCGCAAGGGAUGGGCCGGUAAACAUCUCCUCCCUGGCCACCGCUCACCUCUCCAACCCUUCCUACAACCUUCAGUCUUCAUCCCCUCCGCGGCCACAAAGAGAUCUGCUGCUGCCUCCUUCACGAUGGCCUUGCCUUGCUCAAUCAUGCAGACCUCGCCCCGCCACUGCUUUUUCAGUAGGCCCCUGCCCUGCUCUCGCGCUGAUGUAGCGACAGUGGAAGUGUGACCAUAUAGUUGCUGCUAAAAGUCAUAGGGCUGAUGUGCUCAGCAAAUCAUCUACGUCUGUUUCCCAUACAACAUCCAUGAUCCAUAUUGUUUGGUUACUUACCAGUUUGUGAUGUUGAUGCAAGUGAUUGUGGUGAAGUGGAGCUGUUUGCCUUGUUUACUAACAUGGGAAGGAGAUUAUUGGCAGGCCACUAUCUUCUGUGUUUUGUCCGUCAUUUUUGUGCAUUAGUCCUAAUAGACAGAUUGCUGCUCCUCUUUUCUUAGAUAGACAAACUGCAGCUCCUUUCUUGGGAGGGAACCUGCAAAAAAUAGACUUAUAAGCAUUUGGUGCUCUGGCUACAAAUGUUAUAGCUAAACAUGUCAGAAUGAGUAUCAGGAUGCGAAGACUGCAUCGCAGGCAGACGAAGGAGGUCUGCCUCUGCCAGAGAAGUAACUUGCGCCUGCCACUCUCUACUCCUCCACCUCGCCUUUGCCUUCAUUAUGCUCCCUAUUUAUUUCUGGGUGCUCCUCCUAAACUUCGGAGAUGAAUUGCAGCCCGUGGCCUCUUCUACUGCACACCCAAGGGUGACAAGCUCCACUGACUAGCAUCUUAGAUGCCCCUCGGCCACAUCGCCAUGUGAGCUUCAACCGAAUAGAUCUAGAAGGGGAGCUGGCCAUGGAAUUCGGAAGGACAAAGACUCAAGAACAGGUAGAUAAUGGUACUCCAAUACGAUUUGUUGUAGCUCCAUACAAGAAAGCUUUAAAAAAGAUCCUGUUACAGUUCAUCUAAAUUCUGUUACUUCAACGGAUGGUCAAAUGCAGAUUUAAAUGUGUUAUUUGUGUUCUGUUUGCCUCUCUGAUGAAAGAAUAGUUCAUUAAUUAUGCAUACAAUGUUUGUGUUCAGCUAUCUACUUAUCUUACAUAUAGUUCAGCAGGGUGUGCCCACAUACCCUGUCAAAUAUUCUUCAACCGCACAUAAGUUACAUGGUACAAGAAUAAGAAGUAAUUUUCUUAAUGAAGUUAUUGAGAUGAAGCUUCAUAUAAAAAAAGUGACCCAACUCAUUGCCCUUUGCAAAGUAUGUUACUUUGCCUCUGCAUGCUUGGUCAAUUUGGUAGAACAGUUAUGUUCACCAAUGGGAUUAUUGGUCUGCCUACUUCAUGCUAUAUAUCUGCAACUUUUUUGGUUUUCAAAAGGAAAAUUACAUAUGCUUUUCAUGUGCAUAGUUAAUCGGUAAGAUCUAAGAUGGACCUGCUCUGAUUAUGUAGUUCAGGGACUAAAGCUCUACUAACUACAAGCUCUGUUUAUGUAGUUCAGGGACUAAAGCUUUGCUAACUACAAGUUGUAGAUUUUGUUGCAGCUGAAGCUAUGUAUCAGUGCAUAAAGUGUGCUCAGUUAUGUUUUUUCCCUGCAGUUGUUAUUAAUUCUUAAAAAAGGCUGUUUAUUUGAGCAGGGUAGAUGCCAACAUUUCUAUCUCAAUAUGUCUCUGUCUAUCUCAAUAUGUUUGUCUGCUUUUCGAUCAAGGUGAACGAAGAUGGAAUGGGUAAUACACCACACACGCACACUGAACUGAUAUUAUUGUAUCAUUGUUGCCAUGUAUAAUUAGUGUCUGCCAGUUUACCAGUAAUAGAGAAUGAUUUGUGUUUGUUA